CAACCUGUACAACAUGCACUGCAAUCGCGCUGCAGAGGUCAGGGGUUCGAUUCCCCUCAGCUCCACCA
rnacentral:tRNA from 1 species